GUAGGUGGCAAGCGUUGUCCGGAAUUAUUGGGGCGUAAAGCGCGCGCAGGUGGUUCUUUAAGUCUGAUGUGAAAGCCCCCCGGGCUCAACCGGGGAGGGUCAGUUGGAAACUGGGGAACUUGAGUGCAGGAGAGGAAAGUGGAAAUUCCACGUGUAGCGGUGAAAUGCGUAGAUAUGUGGAGGAACACCAGUGGCGAAGGCGACUUUCUGGCCUGUAACUGACACUGAGGCGCGAAAGCGUAGGGGAGCGAAACAGGAUUAGAUACCCUGGUAGUCCACGCCGUAAACGAUGAGUGCUAAGUGUUGGGGGGUUUCCGCCCCGUUCACGUGCUGCAGCUAACGCAUUAAGCACUCCGCCUGGGGAGUACGGUCGCAAAGACUG
rnacentral:rRNA from 1 species